GCCUUACCAAUAAUCAAAAUUAAAGCUCACUUAAAUAUUUAACUGGGUUUUAAAUAUUUUGACAUACCAAUAAACAUUUUAAUAGUUAGGUUAAGGGCUAACGCUCAGUUAAAUUUUAUUGUUGGGAAACUCAACUAUAAACGGACAGUUAAAUUUAACUCCAUGGUUUGCACUGUCAUUUUGACAGCAUACGCAACAAAUACUUUUUGGUUACAAGAGUUGAGAUUUGUUGUGAUUGUUGUCUGCUGAUUGUUCUUGGCAAUAUUUUAUGAAAAAAAAUGGCUGAAAAACGGAGCAGAUCAUCAAAUUGGACGAUGGCAAUGAAGGAGCUACUGGUCGAAGCAGCUAGACCACUUGCGGAUAUUAUUGAUUCCAAGCUAAAUGAUGGCAAAUCAUUAAAAGCCAAAGCUAUAGCCUGGCAAAAUAUUGCUACAACGUUUCAGGCAAGUGGCUUUGAAUUGACGCCGAAACAAAUAAGAGACCGAUAGAGCCGCUACAAGCAGGAGGCGCGGACCAAUUUGAGUCAAUUUAAUCGAUCUCAGAGGGAGACCGGUGGUGGAAAACCUCCUAAGGAACCUUCUGAGAUCGAUUACGAAAUUGCUGAAAUUUCCGCUCUGGAUUUCGUGGAGGAUACCGCAGAAUUUGAUUGCGAUGCAAUAUGGCUUGAUGAUGUUGAUGACAAAGAAAACAUACCAUCCUCAUCAAAUCCACCCGAACCAGAACCUGAAACGAAAAACAGCCCUCCUCCUCCGCCUAAAACUAUAUGCAAAAACCCAAGGAAAAGAGCGCGCAAAUGUCCGACUUUGGGAACAUCUGAAAAGCUCUUACAAAAACGAAUUGCACAAGUGGAGAUGGAAACAAAAAAAAAAGAAAUCAUUCUUGGACUUCAGGAAGGUGUUUUAAGAAAGAAGCUUGAAGUGCAAGAACGGAAGCUCCACUUAGUUAAUUUAAAAAUAAAGGCUGAAGAGGACAAAGUGGAGUAAAUUAUGAGUCAGUGAUUCUUAGUAUGCUUCUGUUAGAUUUUACGGAUAAUGUAUCUACCAAUGAACGAGAAUAAUUGUGCCUUUAAAUUAAUUUAGCUUCAUUUAAUUCACUGGAAGUUAAUUGGUAGAUAGAUUGUCUGUAAAAUCUAACUGAAUCAUACCAAGAGUCAUUAAUAUUUUUUUUUUAACGAACUGAAGCAUUUGUUUUUAAUUUUGUGAUAACUACAUAAGUACAAAUACUAUUUUUAAAUUAGUUGAUACAAACGUUAUAUUUUUAUUUUCUAAACACGGACUGAACUUUAUUUUUUUUUUGUGAUUUUCUUUGUAGUAUUUUAAGUAGAAUAAGUAUUUAAUUUAGUUUUAAAAUAUAAACCAACGUGUGUACUUUUUUUUUUAAAAAAGUCAUCAAUAAAUAAUUGUUAUUUAAAUAUUUGUGUUGUUUUUAUUUUUUCUGUCAAAAAUUUCGAACCAUUUAUUAUUUUGAACUCUCAAUAAUUCGUAGUGUUUUCAAAAACAACGGAGUUUCAAAUUAAUGAGAGUCAACUGUAAAAAGACAGUUUGAAUUAAAAAGCAAAUUUCAAAUAAAAUAUGGUUUCAGUUUUAUUUUAUUAUCUAUUAAAAUAUUUUUGAAUAAAUAUGUUUCUAUAAUAACGCCCACUCAG